GACGAACGCUGGCGGCGUGCUUAACACAUGCAAGUCGAACGGAAAUUCCCUUCGGGGUACUCGAGUGGCGAACUGGUGAUUAACACGUGGGUGAUCUGCCCUGCACUUUGGGAUAAGCCUGGGAAACUGGGUCUAAUACCGAAUAGGACCACGCGCUUCAUCGUGUGUGGUUGAAAGCUUUUGCUGUGUGGGAUGGGCCCGCGGCCUAUCAGCUUGUUGGUGGGGUAAUGUCCUACCAAGGCGACGACGGGUAGCCCGCCUGAGAGGGUGAACGGCCGCACUGGGAGGGAGAGACGGACAAGACUCAUACGGGAGGCAGGAGGGGGGAAGAUUGAACAAAGGGCGCAAGCAUGAUGCAGGGAGGGCGGGUGAGGGAUGAAGGAAGGCGGGGGGUAAACAUAUUUCAAUAGGAACGAAGGGCAAGGAACGGUACCUAGAGAAGAAGCACCGGCAAACAACG
rnacentral:rRNA from 1 species